rnacentral:rRNA from 1 species
GACGAACGCUUUCUUCUUUCUUAACACAUGCAAGUCGAACGGAAAGGCCCUGCUUUUGUGGGGUGCUCGAGUGGCGAACGGGUGAGUAACACGUGAGUAACCUGCCCUUGACUUUGGGAUAACUUCAGGAAACUGGGGCUAAUACCGGAUAGGAGCUCCUGCUGCAUGGUGGGGGUUGGAAAGUUUCGGCGGUUGGGGAUGGACUCGCGGCUUAUCAGCUUGUUGGUGGGGUAGUGGCUUACCAAGGCUUUGACGGGUAGCCGGCCUGAGAGGGUGACCGGCCACAUUGGGACUGAGAUACGGCCCAGACUCCUACGGGAGGCAGCAGUGGGGAAUAUUGCACAAUGGGCGGAAGCCUGAUGCAGCAACGCCGCGUGCGGGAUGACGGCCUUCGGGUUGUAAACCGCUUUCGCCUGUGACGAAGCGUGAGUGACGGUAAUGGGUAAAGAAGCACCGGCUAACUACGG